rnacentral:tRNA from 1 species
GUUUAUGUAAUUUAAGUAAAAUAUUAGAUUGUGA